rnacentral:rRNA from 1 species
UACCAGCACCCCGAGUGGUCGGGACGAUUAUUGGGCCUAAAGCAUCCGUAGCCGGUUUUACAAGUCCUCCGUUAAAUCCAACUGCUUAACAGAUGGGCUGCGGAAGAUACUAUAGAGCUAGGAGGCGGGAGAGGCAAGCGGUACUCGAUGGGUAGGGGUAAAAUCCGUUGAUCCAUUGAAGACCACCAGUGGCGAAGGCGGCUUGCCAGAACGCGCUCGACGGUGAGGGAUGAAAGCUGGGGGAGCAAACCGG